ACCUGCCUCCUGCUCUCCCCAG
rnacentral:miRNA from 1 species